CCUACGGGAUGCUGCAGUGAGGAAUAUUGGUCAAUGGGCGCGAGCCUGAACCAGCCAAGUAGCGUGAAGGAUGACUGCCCUACGGGUCGUAAACUUCUUUUAUAAAGGAAUAAAGUGAGGCACGUGUGCCUUUUUGUAUGUACUUUAUGAAUAAUGAUCGGCUAACUCCGUGCCAGCAGCCGCGGUAAUACGGAGGAUCCGAGCGUUAUCCGGAUUUAUUGGGUUUAAAGGGAGCGUAGAUGGGUUGUUAAGUCAGUUGUGAAAGUUUGCGGCUCAACCGUAAAAUUGCAAUUGAUACUGGCAGUCUUGAGUACAGUUGAGGUAGGCGGAAUUCGUGGUGUAGCGGUGAAAUGCUUAGAUAUCACGAAGAACUCCGAUUGCGAAGGCAGCUUACUAAACUGCCACUGACAUUGAUGCUCGAAAGUGUGGGUAUCAAACAGGAUUAGAUACCCCAGUAGUC
rnacentral:rRNA from 1 species